CCAAAGCUGGCGACCGGCGCACGGGUGAGUAACACGUAUCCAACCUGCCGAUGACUCGGGGAUAGCCUUUCGAAAGAAAGAUUAAUACCCGAUGGCAUAGUUCUUCCGCAUGGUGGAACUAUUAAAGAAUUUCGGUCAUCGAUGGGGAUGCGUUCCAUUAGGUUGUUGGCGGGGUAACGGCCCACCAAGCCUUCGAUGGAUAGGGGUUCUGAGAGGAAGGUCCCCCACAUUGGAACUGAGACACGGUCCAA
rnacentral:rRNA from 1 species